CGGAGGCAUCAUGCAUAGCCGUCUAGCUGACUGAAUGAUUUCUUAGGUGCCAAGGAACAUAUGGAUUUUACGUCCCUUCAGCACAAUGAUCCAUGUUGGUGAUGCCAUACUUCCGUGUAAGCCUCGCGGCGAGAACUCCACAUAACCACCGGAGGAGGAGGAGAAGAGAAGGACGAGUGGGAGCUGAGCUGCUGGAGGAUAAGACAUGGUUGGAGGAGUGAACUCAGAGCAGGU
rnacentral:lncRNA from 1 species